UACCGCAGGCACAUACCCCUAGCCUGACCCUGGCCUCCCUGGCUACAGGCCCUCCACCCACGUUCAUCAUGGAACUUCCAACAAUGGGACACUCAAGGCCCUACCAGUGAUGAGUGACAGGAUCCUCCUGGCCCACUGGCUGGCGAGUGACCUGACACCAAAAUCCCAAGUAGAAGCUGCUUUCUCCAACCAUGGCUGGCACCACCGUCUCUGAGCUGGAGGUGUGUGUACAGUAAAUUUAUUGGGGUGCCCUCUGGAUCACGCCUGUGGAGCUAGUAAGAUUGGCCAGAAGGAGUUGAACUGCCACACCUGCCAUGAACAGGGCCUUAGCUAGUCCCACAGGGAACUCAUGAGUUGGGACGAUUUUUUGGGGGGAGCUAUACCCUGCAUCGAUGAUUGCAUCAGGCGCCUUCAGGGGAGGGAAGCGUAUCUUGGAGUGUGGCAAUGACCUUCAGCCAAGGGCAGUGUCCAGGAAAGACUCCACUGGAAGCCAUUGGUGGCUGGUGAGUGUCUGAACCAGAAAUCUAGGAAGGGAAGGUUUCCACUGGUGGAGAGAAGACAGGCUUGGCGUGGAAGAGCUGGGUGUGAAUCCUGGGUCAGUAGCUGGGUGGCCUCGGAGCAAACCAGCAAAAUCCUCUUUCUGAUCUGAAGAUACCUCUGGGAACUGAGUCCCUGUGGGUAGAGAAACACACAGACCUGCUAGCAACCAGGCUGCAUCUCCAGGGAUCACAUUACGCUGAGGCUCCUAGACUAGCAUCGUGAUCCCAACGUCAUCGUAUGUCUACCGGCUUAUGGGAUGUUUUUGGAUUUGAUACCACUUGCCAGGGAAUAUGACCAUCAUAAACAUUGUAAUAUGGUUUUGAAGUGUCCAUUCCAAACAGCAUCCACCCAGAAUUCCCUGCUGCUCGUGUGUAAAGCCUUCACCAUUUUCAAGCACUUGCUCCGUUAGAAGAAAGCCUUCGCCGCCACAGUUUCUAGGAGUUUAUAACAUAAAGCAGGAUGACAUCCAAGGCUUCAUUUUGAUUCUAAUCUCCUGUCUGCUCUACUGCAGUAAAAAGGGUAUUAUUAUGCCUAUUUGUAGAUGAGAAAACAGGCAGAUGGAAGUGGACUUGCCUGAGAUAUAGUACCGGGACAUUAAACUUAAUUUCUGAAUCUUAAUUCCACGACUCGACAGAUAUCAUCUCCUCCUUGUGGAAUCAAAGCAGGGAUGGAUCUGAUUAGUGUAACUCUAUGAACCAAGAAGCUGAGGUUAC